CCAUGUGGACUCUUUGCCUUUUCCUCUCUUAACUCUCUGAUGCUGGCUGAGUUACUUCUCUGAAACAUGUGCACAAUAAUUCAAGCUUCUCAUGGCUUCUAUGGAGAUUGAGAUAAAGGCAUCUAGAACUGUGCCAGAAACAGGUAGGCAAUACAUGUAAGCAUCCUGUUUGUGUUCAGUUAAUGUCUUUCCUCAAUGGCUUCAUAACAAAUUCUCAUAUGCUCCUGAAGCCUAGGAAUGUGACGCGGAAGAACACAUACUUCCUAUGUAAAAUUUCAAUGCAACAGAAUAAUGUACGUGCUCUGCCAUGAAGUUGGUCUUGUUUCUCUUUGCUUGAUCCUUAUGAUACUCUGUAACUCAUCAGUUCCUAAGUAGGACAAACAUGGUAGAUAAACAUACCUGGUACCAAAAGAUCAUAUAAAAACUUUCAGCAAUUGAAGUUUGGGUGGAGGAAGUUGGGGGGUAGAGGGCAGGAAACGGUCUUAAUAUUAGUGUCCCCAUUAAAAGAAAGCUACCCCUAAUUUACACAAUUGAUUCUCAGUUUGUAGUUUUUAUCAUAUAAAAACUAAAAUAAAUUUUAUAGAAAUAUUUGAUGUUUUUCCACAAUGAAUGUCUCAAUGGUCCAUUUUUGUUCCCUUUUCUAUAUUGAGGUACUAUUAAGCUGAACCUGCUUUGAAGUGUUCCUCAGAGAUGAUCAAUGAGAAAAUAUCCCCUGUUGUGUGAAGUCAAUCCUUUGACAGUUCUUGUUCACAUACUUUUAAUGUUAAAUAGUGUAUGCCAAAUUUAUUCAAAUAUACGUAUCACUAUCCUUAUUUUCCUAUUUUAGUUUCAGCUUUUUUUUUUGAACUAAAAAUAGUGCAUUUCAAGGUUUUCUACUUAAUUAUGUGCUUUUUAAAGAUGAUAAAAUAUAAUGUGCUUGAAAUUAUGCUAUUUCCAUGAAUAGAGAACCUUUCUAAGGGUAGCUAAAACAUCAAGCAAUUGAAAUAAUGCCAUCCCUCCACAUCAUUCGAUGCCCUGUUAAAAGAACCUGGAAGCACAAUCAAAGGAAUCUUAUUAUUAGAAAUCAGAAAAAAACAUGGUCCUAGAACCUUAGAUCAGUCAUGCGUCACCCAAUAACAAAGUCAAGGAAGGCAUUACACAUUGUCUACUGCAGGCUGAGCAAUCAGGGAAGCAGACUCUAUACUGAAUAUUAGUCUGGAGAAUGAUUAUUAGGGAGACUUUCUCAGAUUAGCACCUGCAGAGAGAAAGGGAUACAAAGGACACAGAUUUUGGCAGAGGAAGAUGUUGCUCUUGGAUGCGGUCAUAAGGAAAGCCUUAAGCAACCAUGUGGGGGGCUUUGCACUGAGCAUGGCCCUGGAGAGCUUUUAAGAAUUUGAGUGAGGAAGCUGAGACUUUAUGUCUCCAUGUCAAGGGGGGCAUGACUGUGGGCAAGAUAAUUCCUCUCAACUGAGGCAGUUCUACAGAAGGCUGAUGACUGUGAGCUGGAUGUUGGAGGCACACCCAACAGCUGAAGGAGAAUAUCCUUUAUUCCUCAAGGAGAUCCUGGGCGGCAUAUCAUAACAUCUACUACUAUACUAUUUUUUCCCUUACAUUUUUGCUAAAGCCACUUUUUAAUAAACAUAUUUAUGUAAACCCUUAAAAACCAUCAUUAAUAUCUCUAUGAAAGAAAUGAUAAAAUAAGCUGUUUGCAAAACAAAGCCACAAGCAUAGAAUUACAUUUUUUGAAGGCUUCAAUGACUAUAGGUAAUUGCCCAGCCAAAAUAUUUAACAGAGGGAGAGACUGAGGUAUUAGGUAAAGGGUUUUGUCCUGAGUCACAGUGUUGGUUAGUAGAGACUCAGAUCUCUCUGCUCCACCAUUCUUUACCCUAUACUAUCCUAUACCUAGUGUUUCCCAUUUGCUCUAUAAUGAAUCUGUUUCCUAGUAAUCCUAAAUUUAAAUGAUCUAUACAAGUUGGGGGAAAAUAAACAUAUAUACAAAAACCUUAAAUGUUUGAAAGAUAGGAUGCUAUAUUUUUAUGAAUUCCCAACCUUUCUAAGACUAUAUCCAUGCCUUCCAUCAUCUUCCUUAAUAAAGAGGGAUAUGUGAUAUUGGGGAAAUUAGAAUUUACCUCUUUUGGUUUCCCUGAGGUGUCAGAGCAGGAAAACUGCUAGAACCACAUUUAUUAGUUCUUAUACAUUGUACCAAUCUAAGGAAAUGCACUGUGAAGCCAUGCUAGAGCCACAUUUAACUGGAUUAUUAGAUAUAGAAGAAAACAGUAAGGUUGACCACACAAUAUUCCCUGUGGAUUUAAGCCCCCUAGAAGUUCUACCACAGGAGUUGUUUCUGGGUAUUGCAUAAAUGAAUUACCCAGGACACCUAAGGAUCUUUGCCAAAGAAUACAUUGUAGUGUACCUCAUCUUAGCCUAAGUAAUCAAUUCAGUUCUACUUUUAUAUCUGGUUUCAGUCUCUGAAAUCAAAACACUCAAGAAAAGAAAUGGAGGUCUAAUAAUUACGGCUAGUCUAACCUUACCAAAAAGAAACCAAAAAUUGAAAACAAUUGCAGAUCCCCCUGAAAUUAUGGAAUUUGAUCGAAAGUAUUUUCACCAUUGGCUGCUAACAAAGUUUCAGGAUGAACCAGUUGGGAGAUGGUAGGAUGUUCAUGGAUUGUGUCCCAUCCACUAUAUUGAACUCACCAGCCCAUGUAUCCACUCAAUCAAAUAACAAUGCGUGCUGAUAACCAAAGGUCAGGAUACUGUUGCCUGUGCUGGAACAUAGAAUACCUCCUAUGCAGACAAGUACAGGUACUGUCAGUGACGAUGCUGUUGCCUCUAAUGGUGUCCACCACAGGUGAUACUGACUAGCCGAAGGUGGAGCCAGAACCCAUUCAUACCAGAGAGCCUGACCAGUUACAACCUACAGAGCAGCUGGGAGAGAGAUGGAAAGUGUGAGUCUCUAAUUUCUGUUUUUCCUUUAGAAAGUUAAGUACCACAGGCCUAUGAAAACGUUUAGCCUUUUAAAAAUUUGUUAUGCAUGUAUUCUGAAUCAUUUUGACUACGAAAACUUAAAUGUGGUAUGAAAAAUGUGAGGUAAUGGUGCUCGCCCAGUCAAAAAUCAUUUAGGAAGGAGGUCCAUGUUAAUUCUAAGGCAGGGGUCAGUGUACCUAAAUAGCUAAGUCCAUCAGAUUUUUCAUGUGGAAUGGUGAGGUAAUUUUUAUGUUGCCAUCCAAGGUCAAAGACCAAGAAGCAAGAUAUCCAAGCAGUGUGCUGAGGCUGGAAGACUGCUUACACUGAAAUCGCUUCCAUUUUAGCUCCACAAAUCCAGUCCCUUCUGCUAAUUAAUUACAAGGUCUUCCUUGGCAGGUGACACACUCACCAUUAUUUAGCACACUGCAUGAAUUCUAUUGCCGUUUGGUGAGGCAUCUCUCUGUGAGAGAGCAGUUAAAGUAAAUGCAUCUAUUUCUGAUACCGCUUCCACCAGAGACCCUUUCCACAAACUAGACUCAAGUGGGCCCCAUCACAUCCAUUCAGCAGAUAUUCUGCUAAUUAAAUCUUCGAAUGAGGUUGAAGAAAGCGAAUAUCAAGACUGAUCCUUAAUAUCCCCCAGCCAUCUCUCUGGCAGCUACAUGAGGAGGAAGUUUAGUCAAUUUAUACUUACAGUCCUUAAAUUCAACCUGUUGAGAUAAUUGACUCAUGAGUGGAAGGAGACAGCAUUUUACUACUGACAUCUUGAUUCCCGUGAAGCCUAAGAUUUGGGCUAAAUCCUAAUAUUCCAUCCCUGAUUUGAGGCAGCUGGUUGUUGAGAAAAUACAACUAGAAUAUUAGAAUUCUGACUUCCAUGCAAUAGUGUAUCAGAAAAUUCAUGUCUACUUCAGUGCUUCAUAAAGUGAAAAUGUAAAUAUUAGGAUGCUUUUCAUAUUGUGAAAAAAGCACAAUACCAUCUAGAUUUUAUUCCCAAGUCUGUCCCCAAACUCUUCUAUGACCUGGGAAACUCAGUUUUUAGUCUGAAAGAUGAAAAAGAAGGGUCAUAUGAUAACUGGGACUCCCGACAUCUAACUAGUUCAACCAUUCUACAGAAAUGAGGCAAGAGUGAAGUUUUGUUCCAGAGCUCUCCUAAAAAAGGUCAUUAUGGACUCACAAAAACAAGUAUCUUUACACAUAUCAAGUAAUGCAAAGCAAAUUGUGUCUCCUUUGCAUCGGAGAUAAAUUAUAAGAUUAUAAUAUAUACUUUAAAUACAUUUCCUACUCAAAUUUAUCAUGGGAUGCCUCCUUCUGUUAUACUGAAGAUUAUUCACACACAAGAUUUACUGAUCUGUAGGAUCUGAAAGAAAAACCCUUUAGUUUAUCCUGUCAUUUUAAGUUUUGAAGUGGAAGCAAGAAGGGGAGGCCACAAAAAAUUUAGUUCUAAUUCUCUUCAUCCUUCUAUUUUUCUUCUUUACUUUCUUCUUCUUGCCUUAUCACUGAUAGAAGAGAUAAAUAGUGUCAACUGAGUUGGUGGGAUGAACAAUGGAGAGAGAAAAGGAGGCAGAGAGAGUUUAGAACAGCUUGGAUGUUUGGCUGUCAAGGGGGAGGCGGGAGGGAGGAAGAUGGACUGGGGUGAAUAGAUGCAAACUAUUACAUUUGGAAUGGAGAAACAACAAGGUCCUACCAUACAGCACAGGUAACUAUAUCUAAUCUCUUGGGAUAGAACAUAAUGGAAAACAAUUUUUUAAAAAUACUUUUAAAAAGGAUGUGUAUAUAAAUAUGUAUGACUGAAUCACUUUGCUGUACAGCAGAAAGUGGCACGACAUUGUAAAUCAACUACAUUUAAAAUUUUUUAAAACAUUUAAAAAGGAUGGCAGGGAGUUCCCCGCAUGGCUCAAUGGAAAUGAAUCCCACUAGCAACCAUGAAAUUGUGGGUUCAAUCCCUGGCCUCACUCUGUGGGUUAAGGAUCUGGCAUUGCCACGAGCUGUGGUGUAGGUCGCAGAGGCGGCUCAGAUCUGGUGUUGCUGCGGCUGUGGUGUAGGCCAACAGCUGUAGCUUUGGGAAUCUCCAUAUGCUGUGGGUGUGGCCCUAAAAAGCAAAAAUAAAAAUAAAAUAAAUAAAAAGAUUUAUUGGAUUUAAAUACAAACCAAAAAUAACUAGAACACCAUUCUUACUUGUUCCAAACUAUCGAGCCUCCUGUUGUGGAAAGCUAGGGGAGGAACAGUAGCCAUGGAAAUUGUGUCAAAGAGAACCAAACACAGCUUCUCCCAAGCACUUCUUUUAUUCUGUCGUGACACCUAAUAUGGUCCUUUGUUCUACACGGCUGAUAUUGAAACAAGAGAUUCAUAAGUGAUAAGUAAAUAUGCUUCAUGAGGCAGGGUAGUGCCAAAAGAAGACAAAGUACAAAAACAUAUAUGGGAAAUGGAGUUGAAUGAGAGGAUAAACAAAGGAAGCAUUGUGCCAAAACCUUUCAUUCAUGCAUAUCAAGUAAACAGUGUUUAUGGUGAGCAGAACUUUCUAUGGCAGUAUCAGGUCACACAUCCAUUUGUCAUGCUUAAAAGGAAGGUAUGUAUUUCUGGUUUUAAGUGAUCAAUCCCCAAUACAAACUCUCCUAGCUUUUACUGAAAAUACACUAUAUGCAGACGAUGACAACAAUAUCAUCAACACAAACACAGAUACACACACAUCUAUGUGACUGUUAGGAUUUUCAUGCAAUGUGUCAUCAGAAUAAGGAAGGAAACUUUAAUGACAACAUCAAUUUAAAACAAUUGACGCAUUCAAAGAGUGAAUUACCCCUUCUACAAGGCCAGCAAGAUAAUUCACUAUCCAUGUACAAGUAAAUUCUUCAUCCACUCAAGAGCCAUGCUAAUCAAAACACUGGUCACAAGUUCCAGCUUAGCAGCAAUGAACCCGACUAGUACUCAUGAGGAUGUGGGUUCAAUCCCUGGCCUCGCUCAGUGGGUUAAGGAUCCUACAACGCAGAUAUCUGUGGUACAGGUAGCAGAUGUGGCUCAGAUCCCGCAUUGCUGUGGCUGUGGCAUAGACCAGCAGCAACAGCUCAGAUUCAACCCCUAGCCUGGGAACUUCCAUAUGCCAUUGGUGUGGCCCUAAAAAGCAAAUAAAUAAAUAUUUAAAAGAGCAGCAAUGCUGGUCAGCUGUGCUACUAUUGUCUGUGCUGUUUUUGAUAUUCCAGCAUUUUAGAUCCUCUCAUCUGUAUCUCCCACCAAUAUUUCCCAUCAGUACUUGCACUCAGAUAAGGAAUCCUGAUAGAUAUACUUUUGUACAGUUGAGUGCUACAGCUGAAAGUAGAGGCCAAAAGGUAAGAGAGUUGAAGAUUCACCUUCUCUACAGGCAUUAUACGUUCACAGUGAUGGAGAAUCAAAUCGCGAGGAUGGGAGAAGCUCUCCUAUAGGUACAGGAGAGCUCCACUGGAAAGGAAAAAACACACACACACAAACCAGACUGCCUCACGGUGGGAACUGGCUUGGAACCCCAGCCACUGGUUUAUCUUAUGGCUCAAUGUGACUGUUUUUUAAGUAACUAGAGAAUGGGAGUCAAAAGCAAUCUUUGUUUUCUGUCUAUCAACCAUGACAAAUGUAGAUAGAAUUCUACUUAUUUAAGGAUGUAUAUAGAACAGAGAGAAUAAAAUUAGGCCUGUAAAACAAAUACCAGCCGUAACAAAGGAAUAGAAGACCCUUCCUUUAGAAUCAGCAAUCAGUGUUAACUACUUAUUUAGGAAUAAAAGGUUCAAAUUAGUAACUACUCCUUGAGAAAUUAUUUAGGGAAAAAAAGCUGUAGAGUUUGACAUCUACAUUAGAAAGCAAGAAGACAUGAUGACUUUAAUGCAAUAUGAAUAGAAAGUUAUAUGGAAAUAACAAGCUGAAAUGAAAAUAUUGAAUUUAAAGGGAGAGGAGGAAAAUAAGGAAGCGUCAUAAAGAGAAAUAAUAAUACACUGUAUUGCAUUUAAAUUUGCAAAGGCAUCAAAGAAAAAGCUAAAUACAUAAAUCAUAGGAAUAACUUGAAAAGCUGUUACUAAAAGCAAAUAAUAAGGGCAGGGAAAGGAAAAAGCAAUGAGGUCAUGCUUCUGAGAAGCCUGAGAAGGCUGAGGAAUACGGACAUUUGGAGUAGAAGAAAUACUGAAAGAUAUAGCUGGGGAAAAAAAAAGAUCUAAAUUAGAAAAAUUUAAGUGAUCUAAAGCAGGAUCAUAAUGUUCCAGGUGAAAUCAGUAAAAAGAAGCAUUGCCUGACCAGGAUAAAAAAAG
rnacentral:lncRNA from 1 species